rnacentral:rRNA from 1 species
UACGUAGGGUGCGAGCGUUAAUCGGAAUUACUGGGCGUAAAGCGUGCGCAGGCGGUUCGUUGUGUCGGCGGUGAAAGCCCCGGGCUUAACCUGGGAAUGGCCGUUGAAACUGGCGAACUGGAGUGUGGCAGAGGGGGGUGGAAUUCCGCGUGUAGCAGCGAAAUGCGUAGAGAUGCGGAGGAACACCGAUGGCGAAGGCAGCCCCCUGGGCUAACACUGACGCUCAGGCACGAAAGCGUGGGGAGCAAACAGG